rnacentral:rRNA from 1 species
UACAGAGGGGGCCAGCGUUAUUCGGAAUUACUGGGCGUAAAGCGCGCGUAGGCGGUUUUGCAAGCCAGAGGUGAAAUGCCUGAGCUCAACUUAGGAAUUGCCUUUGGGACUGCGAGGCUUUGAGGACUGGAGAGGUGAGUGGAAUUCCCAGUGUAGAGGUGGAAUUCGUAGAUAUUGGGAAGAACACCGGUGGCGAAGGCGGCUCACUGGCCAGUUUCUGACGCUGCAGCGCGAAAGCGUGGGGAUCAAACAGG